rnacentral:rRNA from 1 species
CGAAACUAUAAAGAUAAAUUUAAAUUUAGUUAAGAACUAAUUAAUAAAAAAGUUUUUUAAUAAAAAAAUAAAUAGUAUUGAUAAUAUUAUCGAUUAUAGUUAUAGCUAAUAAAGAAUAAAAAAAAUCAAUAAAAUAAUACAAGUAAAUUUUGUAAAAUAGAAAUACUAAAAAUGUUAACAAGAUAAAAAUUUAAGGUUAGAAGUACCUAAAGAAAAAAGUGUUUUUACUUUAUAUAAAUUUACACAAAUAGUUUAUAAUAAUAAUUCUUAUUAUAAAAUCAAAAUAAUAGAAUGCUGGAAUAAGUAAAAUAAUAAUAUUAAAAGAACUCGAAAUUAAUUCCAGCUGUUUAUCAAAAACAUUUUCUUUAGAAUAUAUUAAAGAUAAAGCCUGCUCAUGUUAAUAAAUAAAUAGCCGCGGUAAUUUAACUGCGCGAAGGUAGCAUAAUUAAUUGUCUUUUAAUUGGUGACUAGUUUGAACGGCUUAAUGAGAAUUUUUCUUUUUUUAAUAUUUAGUGAAAUUAUUUUCUACGGUCAAAAAACCUGGAUUUUUAAGAAAGAAGAGAAGACCCCGAUGAAUUUUACAAUUAAUAAUUGUUUAAAUGGGAUAUUUCAAUUUUUUUUAAAUUUGUUUUUGAUCCUUCUUUGAAGAAAGAGAUUAAAAUUACCACGGGGAUAACAGGACAAGAUUUGUUAAGAGUACUUAUUAAAGCAAAGGAUUGUUACCUCGAUGUUGAAUCAAAGUUUACUUCUUGGUGCAGCCGCUAAGUAAGUGGGUCUGUUCGACCUUUAAAACUUUACG